CUGCAAAAUGCUGUUUUGUUGCAACUUCCAGGAAAAGCAAGUGCUGUUCACACGUUGGCAUGAAAUUCAGUGACACAACCAAAACAUUGAUUAGAAUAGGACGCGUUCUCAGAGAUGGCUUCAGUGCUAAAGCUGUGGCUCCUUCAGCUCAGGUACCCAAGGGCAUGACAAGUGAUCUGGGUCUUUGAAGCCAGGAACUUUCUGGUCAGUAUUUUAAAUGUUAAGUGAGGAUGAUCCAGUACUAAGAAAUCUUUAUGAUGACUCACCAGCAUUUCAGGACACUUCAGUUACACUAAAUGAACUACUCUGCACGUAGAGAGUUUCCAGAGACCAUAUCAAGGGUGAUACUUGAAGAGCAAAUGUUUCAACUUAAAUUGACAAAAUGAUUGCUAUGUUUUGUUAUCUCAGGUUGUAACAAUAUCACACUGUCUGUUAGAGGGUGAUGUUGCUGUUGAAUUUUCUGUGCAGUCUCAGUAGCGAAAGACCACCUGGAGCUUUGGCAAUCAACCCUGUCCUGUGUAAACAUGAAGUGCACAAACUUACUGCUUCUAGGACAGUGCAUCAGUCACGAUGGGUAGACUGAAUGGAGUACAAGCCCUAAUGAAAGAUGAAUUCAACAGGGUACAUUUUGUGCAGUUACGCUCACCAAUUAAACCUUUUCAUGCAGCAGCUAUGCUUCAGGACACACGAAGAACUGAAAGGAUUUUUGCACACUUUUCUGCAUUCUUACAUUUUUUCUGCUUCAAUAAAGCAUAUGGCUGUGCAGCAUGAAGAACUGAAUAGGAGGAUGCUGAGACCAAGUGCAACACAAUGGACUUGCUAGGGAAGGACUGUAAGGACAGUUCAUGAAGACUUGGAAGAAUUAUGGAAAUGCUUCAGGAAGAAUCAGGAUGGAAUUUAGCACCCAGUCAUGAGUUAUUUGGGCGAUUGAUUCUUUUGAAUGCUUCAUCCAGAUCACACAUCUCGACAAGAACAAACCUGUCCAACAGUUCUGCCAGGUAGGAGUUGAAUUAGCCAAAUGAAGAGUCAAAUGAGUGCCAGAGGACUGCAUAGCCAGGAGCAUGGGAAGGGAGAAAGAAACCUCUUUCAACGGUGCAAACUGUCACCUCAGCUCAGAAAUAACAUGCAUCUUUACCCUUAGAAGGAAGAAACCUAUCAACAGAAUUUCAUUGUCUUCUUGGUAACAUCUGUUUCCUUUACCUCUAAUGGGGGUGUGAUGGGGAAGGGGAAGAAACAUCAAAGAAUUCAGCUGUCAGAUUAGAAGACAAAAAUUUUGCAUUU